GCCGAAGUGGCGAAAUUGGUAGACGCGCCGGAUUCAAAAUCCGGUCCGGUUUACCCCGGGUGCGGGUUCGAGUCCCGCCUUCGGUA
rnacentral:tRNA from 1 species